UACGAAGGGGGCUAGCGUUGUUCGGAAUUACUGGGCGUAAAGCGCACGUAGGCGGAUAUUUAAGUCAGGGGUGAAAUCCCGGAGCUCAACUCCGGAACUGCCUUUGAUACUGGAUAUCUAGAGACCGAGAGAGGUAAGUGGAACUCCUAGUGUAGAGGUGGAAUUCGUAGAUAUUAGGAAGAACACCAGUGGCGAAGGCGGCUUACUGGCUCGGAACUGACGCUGAGGUGCGAAAGCGUGGGGAGCAAACAGGAUUAGAUACCUCGGUAGUCCCUGAG
rnacentral:rRNA from 1 species